AUUGAACGCUGGCGGCAGGCCUAACACAUGCAAGUCGAACGGCAGCACAGGAGAGCUUGCUCUCUGGGUGGCGAGCGGCGGACGGGUGAGGAAUACAUCGGAAUCUACCUUUUCGUGGGGGAUAACGUAGGGAAACUUACGCUAAUACCGCAUACGACCUACGGGUGAAAGUGGGGGACCGCAAGGCCUCACGCGAUUAG
rnacentral:rRNA from 1 species